GCCCCCGCCGGCCACGCAUGCGCCUUCGCACCACGCGCGCCUCCGGGGCGGGGAGAUCGUCCUCGCGGCGGCCGGCGCGUGAGGCUGGGAGGGACGUGCCCCGCCCCGGGGCCCAAUGGCAGCGAGUGACCCGGAAACGGCCCAGAGCCAAAUGGAUGAAAUUGAUGCUCUCUCAUCUAUAUAUGGUGAUGACUGGUGUGUUGUUGAUGAAGAUGAAAGGAUAUUUUGCAUUAAGAUUAGUGAUUGUUUGGAGCAGCCAAAAUGGACUCUCUGUUUGCAGGUGAUUCUGCCUUCUGAAUAUCCAGCUGCAGCCCCACCUAUUUAUCAACUGAAUGCCCCUUGGCUUCGAGGACAGGAUUAUAUGGAAUUAGCAAAUAGCCUGGAAGAAAUCUAUGUGAAGAAUCUUGGUGAAAGCAUCCUUUACCUCUGGGUGGAAAAGAUACGAGAAGUUCUGAUAGAAAAAUCUCAGUCAUCUGAUACAGCAGGACCAAACGUUGAGAAAAUUACUGAAGAGAUUGAUGAAGAUAAUGAAGAUGAUUAUUCCCUGGAAUAUCAACCAGUUCAAGAAGAUACAGUUAAAACAUUGAAUUUUGUUAUAUCUGAAAGCCAAGAAGUAGAUGAAGAACUGCCACCAAUUAAUCAUGGGAACCCAAUCUCGGACCGAAGGAGCACUUUUCAGGCACAUCUUGCUCCUGUAGUGAGCCCCAAACAGGUGAAAAUGGUUCUUGCCAAAUUGCAUGAGAAUAAGAAAAUAGCGAGUGCUACCCACAACAUAUAUGCAUACAGAAUAUACUGUGAGGACAAACAGACGUACUUACAGGAUUGUGAAGAUGAUGGGGAGACAGCAGCAGGUGGACGCCUCCUCCAUCUUAUGCAGAUUUUGAAUGUCCGUAAUGUUUUGGUUGUGGUAUCCCGCUGGUAUGGAGGUAUCCGGCUAGGACCAGAUCGCUUUAAACACAUCAACAAUUGUGCCAGAAAUAUACUAGUGGAAUACAGUUACACAAGUUCAGCUAUGGGAGCCAAUCAUCCAGCCCUGCACCCCCUCCUCUGUCCACCUACCCAGUGGCAGCAGGAGUGAGCUUCAUCCCAUACCCACCAGAGGUGAAGAGGGAGUGUGGGAAGCAAGGGGGCAUGUGGAACACUGCAUUAGCUGCUUCUGGUUGAGAUAUGUCUCCACUGCUCCUGCCUCCACCAAAACCCCAGCUGGCUAUUGGGGAAGAAUCAUCUAAGCAAUUGGGAAAGAACAAAAGAGUAAGAAAGGACAAGAAGAGAACUGAACAUUAAUUCAUUUAAAAAUAACAUUAAAAAGUUCAGUUUCCACAUAUUUAUAUAAAAUUAUGUAUGAAUCUUUUUUCUGCAGAAAAGAUCCUCAAAUAUAUGUUUUUAUUCCACACAAAAAACCACAAGGGCUUAGAAACAUUUUCUUUCUGUUCAAUGAUGGCCUCAGCCUUCUGGAACGGAGAGCUUAAAUAAAGGAGUUUUCCCUACUCUCAUACUUUUAAACUGAGUCCUGUGCAUACCCAGAACCAUUUUUUUUUUGUCAACUACAGUUGAUUCAGGCACAACAUGGAUUAACUGGCCUCCAUACCAUCAGAUCACUAGUCAAGUGCCUAUCUUGGCCUGGGACUCAGUCAGCAGGGUUCUUCAACUUUGGGAUGAAGACACAAAAACUUUGGAAUAUUGUCUUUUAAAGCUUUCUGUACCAAAGAAAAAAAAGCAGAUAGCCUAUUGCUAAAUUGACUUGGAGAGACUCUCUUGUGUAUCUAGUCCUUGAGCAUACAAUUUGGAGUCUGCUUGAUGGAGUCUCAAGAGCUAUCACGAAGAAAAAAAAAGAAAAAGGUGGCAAUCCGCAGAAUAUAAACUCACUUUGUCAAUCCAUUGAGAAUUUUGUUGCAUGUGUGUCAGGCUGAAAUUUGUGUAGGUGAGGUGCCCUAAAAUUGAAAGAGCCAAUGUUUUUGAAACAGGAAUGUUGAAAUCAUGUAUUUCACCUAAUAAUGAAUAUUAAAUAUCAAGUAUCUGUA